AGGCCGACGGUGGACGGGCGCCUCGCCAACCCGGUCAGGUCCGGAAGGAAGCAGCCGCAACGAGAUUUUCGCCCGGGUCGCUUAACGUCGGUCUUCC
rnacentral:SRP_RNA from 2 species